ACGAACGCUGGCGGCGUGGAUUAGGCAUGCAAGUCGGACGGUAGGGCUUUAUCGUAAGAUAGAGUUUGAGAGUGGCGAACGGGUGAGUAACACGUAGGAAUCUACCCUUAAGACGGGGACAACCCAGGGAAACUUGGGCUAAUACCGGAUGAGAGUGCGAGAGAUUGCAUUUAAAAGGAUGGCGAAAGUUGUCGCUUAGGGAUGAGCCUGCGGUCUAUUAGUUAGUUGGUGAGGUAAGAGCUCACCAAGGCGAUGAUAGAUAGGCGGCCUUAACGGGUGGUCGCCCACACUGGGAUUGAGAUACGGCCCAGACUCCUACGGGAGGCAGCAGUCGAGAAUAGUCUACAAUGGCCGGAAGGCUGAUAGUGCGACGCCGCGUGAACGAGGGAGCCCUUCGGGGUGUAAAGUUCUUUUCUAUACGAGCAGUGCUAUAUAUAUGGAUAGUAUAUAUAGAGGGAUAGUAGUAUAGGAAUAAGCAACGGCUAACUCCGUGCCAGCAGCCGCGGUAACACGGGGGUUGCGAGCGUUGUCCGGAAUUACUAGGCGUAAAGGGCAGGUAGGCGGAUCUACGAGUUUUUUGUUAAAGGGCUACGGGCUCAACUGUAGUAGAGCAGGAGAUACUGUAGGUCUGGAAUGCGGUAGGGGAAGACAGAAUUCCUGGUGUAGCGGUGGAAUGCGCAGAGAUCAGGAGGAAUACCGAAGGCGAAGGCAGUCUUCUAGGCCGUAAUUGACGCUUAACUGCGAAGGUGUGGGGAUCAAACAGGAUUAGAUACCCUGGUAGUCCACACAGUAAACGAUAAUCACUAGAUGUCGGGUUCUAGAUGGAUUCGGUGUCGGAGCUAACGCGAUAAGUGAUUCGCCUGGGGAGUACGAUCGCAAGGUUGAAACUCAAAGGAAUUGACGGGGGCCCGCACAGGCGGUGGAGCAUGUGGUUUAAUUCGAGGCAACGCGAAGAACCUUACCCGGUUUUGACAUCCACGGGAGGCUUCAGAGAUGGAGCUGUGCCGGCGUAAGCUGGAGCCGUGAGACAGGUGCUGCAUGGCUGUCGUCAGCUCGUGUCGUGAGAUGUUGGGUUAAGUCCCGCAACGAGCGCAACCCUUGCCUUCAGUUACCAUCAUUAAGUUGGGGACUCUGGAGGGACCGCUGCGGUAACAACGCAGAGGAAGAUGGGGACGACGUCAAGUCAUCAUGGUCCUUAUGGCCGGGGCUACACACGUGCUACAAUGGCAGUUACAGAGGGAUGCGAUUCAGUAAUGAGGAGCGAAACUCAGAAAAGCUGCCGCAGUUCGGAUUGAGGUCUGCAACUCGGCCUCAUGAAGUCGGAAUCGCUAGUAAUCGCGCAACAUCAUGGCGCGGUGAAUACGUUCCCGGGCCU
rnacentral:rRNA from 1 species